rnacentral:rRNA from 1 species
CCUACGGGAGGCAGCAGUGGGGAAUAUUGGGCAAUGGGCGCAAGCCUGACCCAGCAACGCCGCGUGAAGGAAGAAGGCUUUCGGGUUGUAAACUUCUUUUGACAGGGAAGAGUAGAAGACGGUACCUGUCGAAUAAGCCACGGCUAACUACGUGCCAGCAGCCGCGGUAAUACGUAGGUGGCAAGCGUUGUCCGGAUUUACUGGGUGUAAAGGGCGUGUAGCCGGGUUGACAAGUCAGAUGUGAAAUCCUGCGGCUUAACCGCAGAACUGCAGUUGAAACUGUUGAUCUUGAGUACUGGAGAGGCAGAAGGAAUAUCUAGUGGUGGGGUUAAAUGCGGAGAUAAUAGGAGGAAACCCAGUGGCGAAGGCGGUCUGGUGGACAGCAACUGACGGGGAGGCGGGAAAGGGUUGGGAGCAAACAGGAUUAGAUACCCGAGUAGUC